rnacentral:rRNA from 1 species
GGACUACACGGGUAUCUAAUCCUGUUUGAUCCCCACGCUUUCGUGCCUCAGUGUCAAUAUUCGGGUAGUAAGCUGCCUUCGCAAUUGGUGUUCUAUGUCAUAUCUAAGCAUUUCACCGCUACAUGACAUAUUCCGCUUACCUCCACGAUAUUCAAGACAGAUAGUAUCAAUGGCAGUUUCCGGGUUGAGCCCGGAGAUUUCACCACUGACUUAACUGCCCACCUACGCACCCUUUAAACCCAGUGAAUCCGGAUAACGCUUGCACCCUCCGUAUUACCGCGGCUGCUGGCAC